rnacentral:rRNA from 1 species
CAGGAUGAACGCUAGCGGCAGGCUUAACACAUGCAAGUCGAGGGGUAACAGGGAGCUUGCUCUGCUGACGACCGGCGCACGGGUGCGUAACGCGUAUACAAUCUGCCUUACACUAAGGGAUAGCCCAGAGAAAAUUUGGAUUAAUACCUUAUAGUUUAUUAGAAUGGCAUCAUUUUAAUAAUAAAGAUUACGGUGUAAGAUGAGUAUGCGUCCCAUUAGUUUGUUGGUAAGGUAACGGCUUACCGAAGACUACGUAUGAGGUGAGAGGGCCCUGUAGUAGGAGGAGACUCCCCACCGACGACUGGUACUGAGACACGGACCGAGACUCCUACGGGAAGGCAAGCGAGUGUAGGAAAUAUUGGACGAAUGAGGCGAGUAGCCUGAUCCAAGCCAUGCCGCGUGCAGGAAGACGGUCCUAUGGAUUGUAAACUGCUUUUAUACAGGAAGAAUAAGGACUACGUGUAGUCUGGUGACGGUACUGUAAGAAUAAGGACCGGCUAACUCCGUGCCAGCAGCCGCGGUAAUACGGAGGGUCCGAGCGUUAUCCGGAAUUAUUGGGUUUAAAGGGUCCGUAGGCGGGCUAUUAAGUCAGGGGUGAAAGUUUGCAGCUCAACUGUAGAAUUGCCUUUGAUACUGAUAGUCUUGAAUUAUUGUGAAGUGGUUAGAAUAUGUAGUGUAGCGGUGAAAUGCAUAGAUAUUACAUAGAAUACCGAUUGCGAAGGCAGAUCACUAACAAUAUAUUGACGCUGAUGGACGAAAGCGUGGGUAGCGAACAGGAUUAGAUACCCUGGUAGUCCACGCCGUAAACGAUGGAUACUAGCUGUUCGGUUUUCGGACUGAGCGGCCAAGCGAAAGUGAUAAGUAUCCCACCUGGGGAGUACGUUCGCAAGAAUGAAACUCAGAGGAAUUGACGGGGGCCCGCACAAGCGGUGGAGCAUGUGGUUUAAUUCGAUGAUACGCGAGGAACCUUACCAGGGCUUAAAUGUAGAUUGACAGGUUUAGAGAUAGACUUUCCUUCGGGCAAUUUACAAGGUGCUGCAUGGUUGUCGUCAGCUCGUGCCGUGAGGUGUCAGGUUAAGUCCUAUAACGAGCGCAACCCCUGUUGUUAGUUACCAGCACAUUUAUGGUGGGGACUCUAACAAGAAUGCCGGUGCAAACCGUGAGGAAGGUGGGGAUGACGUCAAAUCAUUCAGGGCCCUUACGUCCUGGGGCCCACACCGUGGUAAAAAUGGUAAGU